CCAUUGAAAUUCAUUUCAGCGUAACCCAAAUGUCAAGGAAAAACAGUUUCUGUAUUUUUCUAAUGCAGUGUCAACCUGAGAUAUUAAUGGUGUCUGAAGAAAAAUCGUGUUGCACUUCUGAAGGACCUCCCACACAUAUCUCUUGCAAGAUUUCCACUGCAGCAACAUAGACAGCUCCCAGUCGGAGCCAAAAUACACCUUUAGCCUCAAACAUCAGUCUUCCAGCAGCCUGAAUGACACAUAGCAAGGAGAAAAAGAAGAUGCUGAAACAGCACACAGGCGCCUGCAAUUUCUGUGUUUCCUAAGAGCUUGGGAAGGCUCCUGACAGCCUUUCCAUACUGACAGAAGUACUACCGCCCACUCUGUCAAAGGCAGUGAGAUACAUCAGAGCAGCAGGCUGGAAAUGGAGGAUUUGCUCCAGCAGCACACAGGCAGAAGCUGAAAGGAAACUCCUGGGAGGGAGGAAGGAACUCUGUGAUGAGAGGAAAUGGGGUUCAGAAAGAGAGCUACUGAGAGAUAUCCAGUGAAACCAGCCUCAUCCAUUUUACUGUCAGGAGACUUCAUUUGUUUAUUAUGGCCUCAUCCUCAUCAUAUUAACCACUGUGUUUUAUUAACAGAGUGAAUUAUCUUGCAGCUCUCAAUAAAUUACUGGCUGACAUUA